AAGUCGUAACAAGGUUUCCGUAGGUGAACCUGCGGAAGGAUCAUUAACAGAGUUAUGCCCCCUGAAGGGGGUAGACCUCCAACCCUAUGCGUACUUGAUUUUGUUGCUUCGGUGAGCCGUGAAAGUUUUCAGGCUUUUCCAUUGGCUUAGGUUGAUGUGUGCUCGCCAGAGGAAAAUUUUAUAAAAAAACUCUUCAAUUAUAUGUUUGUCAGGGUUGGUUAAUAAUUCAAAAAUAAAACUUUCAACAACGGAUCUCUUGGUUCUG
rnacentral:misc_RNA from 1 species